CAAUAUUUAUGUUGCUUUUCUUAUUGCACUGGUUUAAAACAAUCAUUGACCUAUGAUCUUGCUUUAUACAAUCAGUUAAGUGUUACGUAGUUUAUGCAUAUCUGUAGGCAGGUAGAAAAUAGUUAGUGUAGGCUGUCAAAAAAUAAUGUUCUUUUUCUUAGGUCAAGUCCUUUUCUGUUGGAAGGAACAACAGCAAUCAGUUCUAUUCAAAUUCAACAUUCCUACUUUUGGGAAAUUUUAAAUGUACAAAAAUCAAAAGGAUAGAUUUGAAAACUGAAAAAAAUAUAUGAAAAGAUAAUAUUAGCUAGUCCUUACUAGAUGGCUGUUUUAAAUAUGUGUUUAGAAUUAUAAAGAAUAAACCCACCAAAAAUGCUUUUUUUUUCUUUCACUCUCAUCGGAUAUAUAAUAAAAAAAAAGCCCCAAGAUAAGAACAUUAUAUUUUGAUGGCUGUUGAAUUGUCAUUUUGAAGAAUGACUUUACUGCCGUCCAAUGUGAUAAAAGUUUUUCCUUUCAUUAAAUUUGUUAUCUAUUAUAUAUUUUUGUAAGCUACAUUGGUGCAUGUCAAGUAUUAAUUUCGAAGUUGCAUGCUGACUAAAUAAAAUAGUACAGUGAGCAAUUUUCUAAGAAAUUUAAAACCUUGAGAAUUUUAAUGAUGUUAAAUAUAAGCAGCUUUAGUGUGCAGAUAUUCAGUAGCCUUUUACAUGAACAAAAUUUCUGAUAAAAAGUACUAAUAUGUAAUGAAAAUUUCAAUGCAACUUGUGGUUAGUACUAGUUGUAAGAUUUGUGUAAAACUUUCCGGAACUCGCAAAGGAUAUUUAGCUAUAAUCCAGUUUUGUAAUUGUAAGCAAAGCCCUAAUUUUCAG
rnacentral:lncRNA from 1 species